rnacentral:rRNA from 1 species
AUUGAACGCUGGCGGCGUGCCUAACACAUGCAAGUCGAGCGGCAGCGCGGGGCAACCUGGCGGCGAGCGGCGGACGGGUGAGUAACGCUUGAGAAUCUGCCUAUUAGUGGGGGACAACCCGGGGAAACUCGGGCUAAUACCGCAUACGCACUACGGUGGAAAGCCGGGGACCGCAAGGCCUGGCGCUAAUAGAUGAGCUCAAGUCGGAUUAGCUAGUUGGUAGGGUAACGGCCUACCAAGGCGACAAUCCGUAGCUAGUCUGAGAGGACGACCAGCCACACCGGAACUGAGACACGGUCCGGACUCCUACGGGAGGCAGCAGUGGGGAAUAUUGGACAAUGGGCGAAAGCCUGAUCCAGCGACGCCGCGUGGGUGAAGAAGGCCUGCGGGUUGUAGAGCCCUUUCGGUGGGGAAGAAAUGCUUCGAGCUAAUACCUCGGGGCUUUGACGUAACCCACAGAAGAAGCACCGGCUAACUCUGUGCCAGCAGCCGCCGCUGUAA